AGUGAACGCUGGCGGUAGGCCUAACACAUGCAAGUCGAACGGCAGCACAGUAAGAGCUUGCUCUUACGGGUGGCGAGUGGCGGACGGGUGAGGAAUACAUCGGAAUCUACUUUUUCGUGGGGGAUAACGUAGGGAAACUUACGCUAAUACCGCAUACGACCUACGGGUGAAAGCAGGGGAUCUUCGGACCUUGCGCGAUUGAAUGAGCCGAUGUCGGAUUAGCUAGUUGGCGGGGUAAAGGCCCACCAAGGCGACGAUCCGUAGCUGGUCUGAGAGGAUGAUCAGCCACACUGGAACUGAGACACGGUCCAGACUCCUACGGGAGGCAGCAGUGGGGAAUAUGGGACAAUGGGCGCAAGCCUGAUCCAGCCAUACCGCGGGGGUGAAGAAGGCCUUCGGGUUGUAAAGCCCUUUUGUUGGGAAAGAAAAGCAGCAGGUUAAUACCCCGCUGUUCUGACGGUACCCAAAGAAUAAGCACCGGCUAACUUCGG
rnacentral:rRNA from 1 species